rnacentral:lncRNA from 10 species
CUGAAAUGUCUAUUUAUUAAUAAGUGGUGCAGUAUUUAUUUAAGAUAGAACAUAAAAAAUCAGGUAAGAAUUAUUUGCAUAAUAUAUAUGGAAAUCAACCUAUUAAAGUUGUUCAAAUAUUGGACAGAGCCAGAAUAUAAAUUACACAUACAGUUUAAAAAUUACAGGAAAUCAUAUUAUAAAGAGCACUAAAGGCCACUUGUGGAAUAGUUGUGUUCCCCUGUAAGCCAGAAUGUGAAGAAAGCCUACUCGUAGCACAGAGACAAACCCAGGGAGCAAGGCACCAGAAUUCUAUGCCAUAAAAAGGGGUUAAAAAAUACAAUCCAAAAUCAAAUAUAAUGGAUUCAUGUCACUGGGAACCUCCAUUUGUUCUUCAAAGACUGGUGUUUUCCAUCACUGCUACAUUAGAAAAAGAAGGAAAAAAAAUAGCCAUAUCCUAUCUGAAGCAAGGCAGAGAUCAUUUUUCUCUUUAAAACAAGGAAGGACUGACAAAUCUGAUGAAGUCCACCUAUCUUUCUAAGUUGAUUUUUCAGGAUGGCACAGAGCCGACUUCACCUCUCCAACAGCAAAUCUCUGAUCCUUGGCAAAAUGGCUGCCCCAAAUCUUGCAACUUGGCCACCACCUGGACUCUUAACCCUCAGGGGAACUAUGGGGGUGGGAACUGCCCCCUCCUUGGAAAAGUAUUCAGAGGGGUAUAGAAGGGCCCAAUUACCAGAUCAGGUUGGCUUCCAUGGGAAACCUUGAUCUUUUAAUACUGAGAAAGAGAGACACAACUGUUCUGAGCUUUUGGCCUCCCACAGAAUGUUUUUAUAGACUCACCUGUUUCUGCAGAAUUUCAGAGCUCAGAAAUAAAGGUACAGUCUAGAGACAAAAGACCAGAGUCAGCAGAGACGUGGAGAUAUUUGAACUUGUUUGGUUAAAAACAAUGACAGGAGCUCCUUGGGGGCAGAGAACAAGGGGCACUUGUGGAUGAUCUGCAGCCACACCAAGCCCCGAGAGCUAAUGGAUUCCAAUGUGAACCAGGUGAAUAAUUUAUGAGGCAUUAUUUUCUGCCACUGACAGCUGGAUUGUGAAGCCACUCAAAGGACCUGCUGAACAGACAAGAGGAACAGCUGACCCAGGCAUCACUCUACUCUCCAGGGAACUCAUGGGUCUGUGAUCAUUUUACUGUAAAGCUGAGUGAACGUAGAAGCCCGAAGCAUUGUGGAGGAGCUAGGGCCUGAUUUGAGAGGAAGAAGGGGGAGAGAGAAUGAGCUUUCCAGGUACACGGGCUUUGGUUGAAUAUGCAGCUCUACUUCUUACAAUGUGUGACCUUUGACAAGGUCUUGUCUUCAGUUUCCUCAUCUAUAAGAUGGAGACAAUAACAUCUCCCUCAUGGGGUUGCGAUGAGGAUUGCAUGAACUUUAGAGAGAGCUAUCAUGUCACAAGCAACUCAUAAGGAGUGCUUAGGAUAAGUUUCUCUCCCCUUCCCUGACCUCACUUUUGUGGGCAGAGGAAGAGAAGGGAACAUUAACAUAAAAUAUGGUCUCAUUUUUUAUUACUCUUAGGUAUCAAAUUGCAGUCCAUUCGACAAGUCUAAGAGGAAUUACAAAUACAUUCCUGAGCACUGAGCUGGGCUUUUGACUACCUCAUUGUAAGCCAUUCUCAAGUUAUUCUUAUAUACAGCCGAUUUUUGGCGGUGUCAAAGAAAUUCAUUAUUUCCCUUGAAGCUUAUUUUAAGCCCAUAACAGUGCUAUCUGGAGGAUGAAGGCUUAGGUAGAAUGACAAUCUUUAAAAUUACUGGGCCAACUAUUGUUGUUCUAGAACUUGACCAUCCUUCUUUCUGAAUAUCUCUUAGGAGCUUUCACUUCAGCCUGACUCAGGAGAACUGAAACAUCCUACCACAGGGAUUCACAAGGACUGCUGGGGAGCCCUGCCAAAUUCUGGCCGAUUUAUCCCGAGAACAAUGUAAGUGGAAACUAACAAUGAAGAUGUUCAUUUGAGCCAACAGAGGCCUGUUUACUUCCUAAAAUAAUCUCUUAGUUACAUAACCAUAAGAUGUCCUAAGUUGAGUCCUGUCUGCUUCUUUGUAGCUUUUGGUGAAGGCCCUAGAGUAUCUGCUUAUGUCCUGACAACAUGGGGAUUCUCUGGGACAAGGCAAGAGGACCCAAGCUGUGUUCAAAUGAGACCCAGAGAUCCCAGUGCAAAGGGACACCUUUGGUAAAACUGGCCACUUUGGGUCAUAUAGAUCCCAAAAGAAAUCAUGCCUGACUUCCUAAAAUCAAAACCAUAGGGAUUUAUCAAGAAGAAACCCUGUUUAAUUGGCCUAUAGAUGAGGAUGCAACCUAAGGCAUGACUGUUGCUGAAUGAGCCCAAGUGAUGGGCCAAAAAGGUGAACCAGUCCAAACAUGGCAGGACCAAGAAGGAACAAGGCCUUUUGAAGACAGCAGGAAUCUGGGAGAAGGAACAUCAUCGUCUUUCACAGCAUGGAAACAUCAAUCUUAUUCCAGAGAAGGGAAGAAGUCCCCAAAGGUAUGUCCGGUUUAACAGUUUCUCAAGUGGGCCAGGAAGUUCUUUUUCAUGUUCUGGGCUCAAUCGUGAUGCUUUGAUUUCACUUGGUAUUUUACUUUUAGUUUUGUCUCUAACAUCUGGAGCAAAGAUCAGAAGACCUGAGUUCCAGAUUUAUUCUGUGACUCAAUCACUGCUUCAAUCACUGAGGGACGUGGUGUGAUGUUCUUUGCUCUGAGCUUCUGCUUCUUGAUCUAAAAAGACAGGUGGUUGUUCUGGGUGAUCAAAAUCUCUUCUUGCUCUGUGUAUCUUAGAAUCCAUGAAAUUAUGUCUCUUUGCAUCUAUGAUAACAAAUCAAAAUAUGAAUCACAAUUUUCUUACAGGGUUGCUGAGGUUAAAGCCGUGAAAGCCUGGGAACAAAUCUCCCCAGGGAAGGUUUAAGCAAGCAUUAACUCUUUCUUCUGCAAGUUCCCCCAUUCAUUGCUAGGGUGUUGUCUGAUAGCCACCAUGCACAGUUGACUUUCCUUGGGAAAUCAUGAGUCUUUUAUUUUUGCAAUUUGGCUUUAUCUCCUACACAUCAUCCAGAUGGUGCAACAUCUGGUACUAUAUGUCCAAUGGAAUUGCCACAACUCAGCCACUGAGAUCCAACAUUCCUGCCUCUCUUCAUUCCAAGAUUCCUUCUGUUCUUUAUUGUGGUAGACAAGAGCAAGCAUUUUUAUUUGCAGAGAUGUACUUAUUUAAAAAGCAAUUGUGAAAGCAUUUGAUUUAAUAAUUAGGAUUGUUUCUCCACGAUUCUUUUUCUGAAAAAAAAUUUUUUUGGUGUAAAUUUAGAGUUUAUAAGUAACACCAAAGACUGAGACAAUGAAGUCCAUGCAUACUGUAAAAAAAUAACAUAAAUAACAGUCCCUAGUAUGCAUCAGUCAUUGUACUAGAGGCUUUGUGUGUACAUUGAUUGUCUCACUUGAAAAUCAAAACACGGCAGAAGAGUCAAAUGCUUUUGAAUGUGCUGAAACUCAAAUUUUCUUCCAGGUCAUCUCUGUAUGAUUCCUCUUUUACACUGCCAUUACUGGCUUCUAAAACCACUAAAGCUAUGCAGAUAGCCUGGUCCUAACAUGUUCUAAACUGGGCAUUAGUGAGGGGCUGCCUGCUGGCUUGUUUAGGGGCCAGUUGGCUCAGUUUGGAAUGGUUUAAUAUCAGCAACAAUAGCAUUGGGUUGAUUUGAAUAUAAACAACUUAGACUUUAAAAGUUCAUCCUGAAAAACAAGCCUUCAAGGACAAGUGAGGACAUGAAGCAAAUUCCUAAGGAUGCCUGGGGUUCAGGAAGCAAAGAAGAAUCUUUGGUUAUUCAUGAAAACCAAAUACCAGCUAUGUGGCAUCUUCUGGGAAAGCACAGGGGUGGGAGAAUCCUGGGGUGUGUUUGGCAGCACUGUCCAAAGUACAGUUGACUUCUUAGGCUGCUGAACAAAUUUCUUCUCUUGCCCCAGGAGAAUUUGAUCUGCAGGUUCCCAUAAGUAGAGUAACAUCUUUCUCUUGAAAUAGGUGCUGUGUCAUAGUCUGUAUCAUAAGCUUCUCUUGGUCAACAUAAUGAAAUGAAAGUAACUCAGCUCCUUGACUGGUAUCAAUCUUAGCAGGGAUUAGGAGACAAGAAGAAAGCUGGUUUCUCCAACAAUCUUCCUCAGAUUCCCUAGAAUCCCCCCUUUUUGCACAGCUUCUCUGGAGCUAUGAAGUUCAAAGCAUUGAAUCCAAACUCGAAGUCCCCAUUCAACCCACUCAGCCUUGACUGGGCUGAUUGGAUCAUUGCCAUUUUGAUGUAGAACCUUUGCUCUCAUUUUCAUGUUCAAUUUUCUAUAGUUUCCAAGCUAGGAAGCAUUUCUGUCUGUAUAGAGUUGUUUGCAGGGAUGAAAUCAGGUAUUUUAUUUUCCUGGUAGACAUAGUUUGAAGGGACCUCUGAUGUUUGAGACCUCUAGAUUCCUAGCAUUUUGAUGGCAGAAACUGUGGUUUUCUUAUCUCUGAACUUCCAGUGCACUGCAAAGUUCUGGGCAUAUAUUGGUGCUUAAUAAACCCUGUUAAAUGAAUAAACAAAUGAUUUUUUCUUUAUUACACCCCCAUUUCAGUAGCAUGGAAUUAUGAGGAUGAUUUUGCCAAAUUAUGAGUAGGUCCUAUUAGAUUAGGUUUUUCUACAGGAAAUUAUUCUUUCAAACUACAGUGUCUAGGAAGUACCUUGCACAAAAUAGACACAGGAUGCAUAAUUGUUGAUUAAUUAGUUCAUUUUAACCUAUACACCUUGGGGUUAUCUAGUUAUGUUUUCAUGAAAACUAGGGCUUUGUAAUAUCAAUGUCAUGUCUAAUAAGCCUAAAUUUCCAGUUCUAAAAACAAAGUUAUUCAACAACACUUUCUCAAUUUGAUGUGUUUUUCUUUUCCUGAAAUAAUUUUUUUCUUAAGCUUUUGAUAUUUGCUUUUGUGCUGACAUUUGAUAGUCAAAACUCAAACGAUCUCAAGUACUUCUUUCUCAGCUCAAUAGGAUCAUGUUUCGCUUAACAUUUGUGAAGUUGAUUUAUCUAAUUCAUUUUGAUCUUGCUAAAAUAUGACCUUUAAAAUUUUUCAUGUCACAUUGUGACCCAGAAAGACCAAAUACAUACAUGAGAUCAUAGUUUUACCUGAUAAUAUCACUCCUAGUUUGAUGAUGGAAUUAAUUUGUCAAUAUUUCAUGGAGUUCUGCUGAAACGAUUGCAAUUUCUUGGGCAAGUUUCAGAACGACUAGUAUAUCUGUGGUCAUGUCAUCUUGGGUCAUGUUAACCAGUUCCAUUGGAUUAUCAUGCUGUUCCCUUGUCUGACAAAAGGAUCUUUGUGAAAGCACACACUGUUUCUUCCCAUAACUCACAUUCAAUUCCAGACCCUGAAUUUCUGCUUGCUCACUGUGAGCCAUAUUGUUGAGAUUGUCUGUGCAUAGGCAACUUGAGCAGGUUUGGUUUGCCUUUCUGGAAUAUAUUUUUUGGGGAACAAAAGGAGAAUAUCAAAGCAGAGUUAUUCCAGAAGAUCAUUUUUCUCUUUUCCUUUUUGUUUUCUUAAAUGGGAAAAAAACAGCUCUUAAGGUUCUUAUUAUUUAUUCAUUCAUAAAACAUGUAUUUUGUCUAUGUCUAUACUGAUAAAGACAACUUACUAGAUGUUAGACAAUCAAUACUUCCCUACUACUGAUCAAUACAAACCCAAUCUCUGCUGUCCUGGUCUUAUGAUCCAGCAGGGAAGCUAGACUGCCUGCCUAUGGUUUAGGAAAUAAUACAAGCU